rnacentral:rRNA from 1 species
GAUGAACGCUGGCGGCGUGCCUAAUACAUGCAAGUCGUACGAACAGCGGAAAGUGCUUGCACUUUCCAAGUAAGUGGCGAACGGGUGAGUAACACGUGAAUAACCUACCUCAAAGACUGGGAUAACCAUUGGAAACAGUGACUAAUACCGGAUAAAACCCAGUAGCACAUGCUACAAGGUUAAAAGCUGCGUUUGCAGCGCUUUAAGAUGGAUUCGCGGUGCAUUAGUUAGUUGGUGAGGUAAAGGCUCACCAAGACAAUGAUGCAUAGCCGAGUUGAGAGACUGACCGGCCACAUUGGGACUGAGACACGGCCCAAACUCCUACGGGAGGCUGCAGUAGGGAAUUUUCCACAAUGGACGGAAGUCUGAUGGAGCAACGCCGCGUGUGCGAAGAAGGUUUUCGGAUUGUAAAGCACUGUUGUAUAGGAAGAAUAAGGUAAACAGGGAAUGGUUUACUGAUGACGGUACUAUACGAGGAAGUCACGGCUAACUACGUGCCAGCAGCCGCCGUAACAC